CCAGCCCCUCCCCUGCCCCUCCCCAAGUCCACACCCACGACCCGGGGCCACCCAGGCUCCAGACCCAGUGCCCCGCACUGGGCCGGUGGCUUUGCCUCUCUGGAAGGCGAUGGGGACACAUCAGGUGUCACUCUGACCCCACAAACCCUGGGGUCCCUGUCCCCCCCCCCCGGUCCCUUUCCCACCCACGUCACCCACUCCAAGGCCAAGCUGGAGGUGGGGGCCCACGGUCCUGCAGGAAGCCGGGACCCCACGGAUCAGUGAGCAGCCCGAGCUCCUGCCCAGCCCCUGUCUCUCUGUCCCUCCUGCCCCGGCCACACUGGUCCUUGGUGCCCCCUGUCCUGCUCCCUUCCCACCUUUGUCCUUGGCAUCCCGUCGGCCCUUUCAUCCUGCUCAGGUGUCACCCCAGGACUCCUGCUCCUCGUGGGCUCCCCGUCCCGUCAGGAUCAGUCCACCUCCUCAUGGUGCUGAAGGCCAGGUGCACAGGGGCCACGGAGCGGUGCCCACGUCCUGGCCCUAGAACUAGAGGGGAAGAAGGAAGAUGGAUGAGGGAACAGAGGAAGUUUAAAAAUUGAAUCCCAGUGACUCGGGAGGCUGAGGAAGGAGGAUCCACCAGUUGGAGGCCAGCCUCAGCAACUUGGCGAGGCCCUAAGCAACUUGGUGAGACCUGGUCUCAGAACAAAAAAAUGAAAAAGGCUGGGGAAGUGGCUCAGCACCCCUGGGUUCAACCCCCAGUACCAAAAAAAAAAAAAAAGGUGUAAUCAUGGAAGGGUUGGCGCUCGCCUAGCAUGUGCAAGGCCCUGGGGUCCAUGCCCUGCGUCUCCCACCCCGUCCACCAGAUGGGACAGAGGGGAGGCCAGGCUGUGAGGCAGCCCCGUCCAGGUUGCCGCCUUCCCUCCUAGGUUGAGAUUUCUGAACCCCCUCUCUUGUGUCCACCUCGCCUCCUGCCCCCGCCCCACGCCCUGUCCCUUGCAAACAGGUGGUGCCCAAUGGCUGCCUGUUGGGCUGAAUCGAUCCUGGAGGGAGGGAGCUGAGAGGCUUCCCCUGGGGUGCUGCCCCACAUGCCCAAACCUGCCCCGACUUAAGCCGCUUUCCUGGGCCCUUCGUCAGGAGGUUGGGAUUUGGCAGAUCGGUGCCAGGGUUUCCGUGGGGUCAGGAGGAGCCACCUCCUUCCUGCAGGUGGGGCGGGAAUGGGGAGGGGCGCCCGGGCCCCCCAGUCGGGAUCGUCCUGGAUCUGCAGUGCCAACCCUGCUGGGGACUAAUACAGCACCCCGAGGGUCCCUGGGGCAGGAGAGGAGAGGGCUCAGGAAGGCCAAGUGACCUGCUCAAGCUUGCCCAGCGGGUGCCUGGGAUCUGUGACGUCACCAUGUCCUCGGAAAGCCUGGGCCCCCUUUCUGGGGCUCAUAGGAAGACGGGGGCUCUGGCUGGGCACCAGGUUCCUGCCCCCUGCUCGGGACCCCCACGCCUCUGCGGGGCCACUCUGGCCAGUGCAGUGCUCAGCACCCCUGGUGGUGACCCUGCGGUGGGUGGCCUUGCCCGGUUCCUCGGUCUCCCCACAGGUCAGCCCUGGGGAUCUUACCAGGUUUGCGCAGGGGUGUGUUCCAGGGCCUGGCACCGGGCCUGGCACACAGGGCACCGAACACACUUUUGUCAAAUAGCAGCAGGGGGCUUCCAAUCCCGCCUGGGCCUGAGAGCCCAGCCCUCCCUUCUGCCCUGGGUGCCCGCAGCGCCCCUCACUGUCCCCUCCCAUCUGGUGCUUGCGUUUUAGAAAAGGGUGUUGCACACUUGAAACAAAAACGUUGGAAAACCGCUGCUCCCAAGGACGCAGUUGCGGAGCUGUGGGCAGGUGGGGUCAGUCACUCUUGCCCCUGCCUCCUGGUGGCGCCCCCAGGGCUACGCGGUGGCCUCAGGUGCUGUGGCUGCAGAGCCCCUCCCAUGGGAGGUGCUGGUGAGUCCACGGCCCCUGGGGUGCCUUCUCACCCUGGGGCACACGCGUGUACACACACACACACACACAAAGACACAAGCGCAGAAGAGACCCAGGCUGUCCCCGCCCAGCCACUCUCCUGGUGGCCCCCUCCCCUCUGGCCUGGGUCUGGAAUGUGUAAUAACAGCCUUCAGGGCAAAUUGGGACAGGGAGGGAGCUGGCCACAGAGCACAGGCCACAGAGCAGCAGAGCCGGGUGUGUGUGUGUGUGUGUGUGUGUGCACCCACUCACUGCUGUGCUCACACUGCUGGGGGGGGC
rnacentral:lncRNA from 1 species